rnacentral:lncRNA from 1 species
GUUUGCUGAAACCCAAGGCUGCCAGCAUGAGGGAAAUGAACACAAGUCUAAUCUGGUGUCUGAAGCCAAUGAGUGACACCUAAGGUCUCAUUAUAAAUAGUAAAGUAUGCAGUCGGGUGGGUGAGAGCAUUCUGAAGUGCAAUGUUCAAGAAGCUGGCUUAAUAUAUGACUAAGUGUCAGAAGUCAGGUUUUCUGAGAAUUACUUUUCAGAUAAACAACUUUAUAGCACUGCACUUAAUCUUACUUACUAGAGACAUCUCAUUUAUCACUGAAUUACAAGUAACUUUAAUUCUAUUGAUAUUGCCAUAAAGCCCGUUGAAAAUGCAUCCUGGCACUUUUUAAAAAGGGUUUGGGGCCCUGUUUGUUACACGGGAUCCUCUUGCGGAAACCAGCUUCUUUUCAUUUCAUCAACAAAACUGGACACGGAUCAAUUUCAACUGACCUUUGCCGAAAGGUGGCGCUGUUGAGGUAAGAACCAACUCGGUCCAACAAUAGUUUUCCCUCUUCGACCGUUCUGCAGGCUUUUCAGAUUUUUUUUUUAAUGCACCCUCCUAGCGUCUCCCCCUCCCAUGAAAUAAGAUAAAUAUGAUUAACACCAAGUGCAUUUCAUUAAUUGGAGGAAUCAACAGUCCAACAUCCAGGCAGGCAGGCUGGUCUUCCAAACGCUGGGUCGGCUCCGCGCCCUCUCGCUUUCCCUCAAAUAAAUCUCGGCUUCUCCAUCUGGCCUAUCGCUUUAAAAUCUUAGAAACAGAGUUGCUGGUUCUUUCUUUCUUUUUUUUCCUUCCUUUUUCUUUUCUUUCUUUCUUUCUUUUUUUUUUUUUNNNNNNNNNNNNNGCUUUAGAAGAAUCGAUCGAGAAAACUGAACAGUUAGUUAUUAGCAUCUGCAACACCCCCAAGGGGGAGAAGCAGCCCCUACUCCCGUCCUCCCCAUCCCCCACUCUGGGUUUCCGGACCCGUCCCAGAAACCGCGGUUUAAAACUUAACCCUUCGAGGGGAGCUGGUGAAGGCUGGGGUAUUGGUUCUUUUUUCUCCCCCGUUCCUCCCCACGAUCAAGUCUGAAAUAAUUAAGCGAAAUGUAAAAGUGCAAAGGGCGCGCAGGACCCUGACAAACAGGAGUCAGAUUUCAUAAGGGGGUGGAUGAGUAUGUGCGUGUGUGUAUGAGAAAGAGAAGUGAGUCUCAAAGGCCAGACUCGGGCCAGAGUCAGAGGCCCGAGGGUGAGGAGCCGGGCUGACCUGACACCGAGCUUUCCCGGAGNNNNNNNNNNNNNNNNNNNNNNNNNNNNNNNNNNNNNNNNNNNNNNNNNNNNNNNNNNNNNNNNNNNNNNNNNNNNNNNNNNNNNNNNNNNNNNNCUUUAAAAGAGGCUGAUAAAACGGGCUCUCUCUCUCCGCGGACUUAGAGCCGCCCUGGCAAGCGCGCGGCCGGGCGAGGUCAAGCGCGCAGUGGGGACCCCUGCGCCCCCACGCGCGCGGGUGCGCGCGGGCACCGGGGAGAGGGACAAAGAGUUGGGGCCAAGUUUGCGCUCGGGGCAUUGCCAGGCUCCGGGGAAGGAAGGUUCCCCCCGGGCGGAAACCUGGGUGCCCUAAGCUGGAGCAAGGAGAAAAAGCUACCCGGCGAAUUCACGAUCCUUGCGGGGGUGUGUGUCGGGGGUCGGGGGGCGGUCAGGAAGGAGUUGGGGGGGAGCAGGCCAACCGUGGCCGAGCGAGUGGCAGGCGAGCUGGGGCUCCGGAAGGCAGGCCUCUCUAGCUCCGAAGUAAAGCAAACCGUCCUCGCUGUCCACCCGGGUUCCCGCAGCCCCUCCGGAAAACUCUGUCCCCUCUUGCACCAAACUUUGCUCUGGUCUUUGCAACCUCGCGCGGAGGCUGCGGCUUGGGAAGGGUUAAGACUGCCCGUCCCAGCUGACAGUCAGCUGAUUGGGCCCUGAUUGACAGCUCGGAAAAGUUUCCUUGUUUCUCGACUCCUAUGCUAAUCGCGGGCGCUCCCGCCGCCUCCCAUUGGUCCGGAGUACCAGUCAAUUUCCCAUUUGGGCCUGACGUCACGAGUGCUAUAAAACUCAGCAAUAGCUUUAAACUCUUCUUGCUGGAUCAGAGGCUUUAAAAUCUUUUUUUUUCAUCUUCGAGCUGUAUAGCUCCGGCUGCUCGUCUGCGCGGUCUCCCCCCUUUUGCUCUGCGCCUCGCCUUUUCC